GCUGGGAGUGGUAGGGCAUUUCUGUAAUUCCAGCAGCUUAGGAGGCUGAGGCAGGAGGAUCACGAGUUCAAACCUAGCCUCAGCAACUUAGUGAGGCACUAUGUGAAUCAGUUGAUACCUUGUCUCUA
rnacentral:sRNA from 1 species